rnacentral:rRNA from 1 species
GUACAGAGGGGGCAAGCGUUUGUUCGGGAAUUACUGGGGCGUAAAGGGCGCGUAGGCGGCCCGCUAAGUCGAACGUGAAAUCCCCGAGCUCAACUCGGGAACUGCGUCCGAUACUGGUGGGCUUGAAUCCGGGAGAGGGAUGUGGAAUUCCAGGUGUAGCGGUGAAAUGCGUAGAUAUCUGGAGGAACACCGGUGGCGAAGGCGGCAUCCUGGACCGGUAUUGACGCUGAGGAGCGAAAGCAUGGGGAGCGAACGG